ensembl:lncRNA
AUAAACACAGGGUUGUGUGAAAGCCUCUGUGCUCCCUACCACCCUCAAACCAAUGGCUUGGUGGAAAAGCUAAACGGCACAAUUCAAGGAGCUUUGAAGAAAAUGGUGCAGGACCACCCAAGUGACUGGGACAAGUACAUACAGCCAACUGUAUUUGGACUCCGUACUAAAAAACAGUUGACAACCAAAUACUCUCCUUAUUUUUUAUUGUAUGGAAGGGAGGCCCGUUACCCAUCUGAAAUACCAGAUAAGUGGCAGAUAUCUGAGGAACGGGUCCACAUCUAUAUGACCAAUGAGGACGUCUGCACCCACACGAACGACCUCAAAGAGGUCUACAAUAAAGUGGAGGCGAACAUUGCUGAGACGCAGGAAAAGGUGCGAAAGAGAAAACUUGCAAAGGGGGAUGAUGACAGCUUCGCAGUGGGGGACAAAGUUUUGCGAAAGAAUAUUCGGGAAGAGCAAAGGAAAGGGGGUAAACUGGAAACCGACUUGUUGGGUCCAUACAUGGCAAUCCAUAUAGAUGGAAAAAGUGCUGACUUGACAACCCUACAAGGGAAAAAUGUUUGCAAAGUGAACAUUGACCAUCUAAAGAGGUACGUGGAACCAGAAGUGCGGAUCCCUGCGAAAUGGAUUGCUGCCACAUCCACUUCUCCUCCAGCACUGCAGCCCAGCCCCGUACGGUGUUUGGGGGUUCCCCAAUCCCCGUCUGUAGCCCCAAAAUCAGACUCCUUAACAUCCAGUCUCUCACCACGGCCUGCACCUGCCUCCCCAGAGGAAUGCAAGUAUAAACCUCAAUACAGUUUCAAUAUAAGGACAGUUUGGUGAUGUUUUGGAACUUGAUAGGUCAUCAAACCCCAAAUGAGCCCUCGGUAAACAACUCUUUUCUAAUCUCAGUGAUCGCUGACAUAUGGGCGGGGCAACGUCAAGGUGUGCUGUGGAGCAAAGUGGGGCCAUACAAGAUUUUUGCCACGGACCUUCAAAAUUUGGCCCCUGGGAGGCAGCUGGAGAGUGAGGUUUUAAAUGCAUUCAUGCGUACGAUUGUAAUGCAGCAACAAAAAGAAACGGAAAGCCAAUUCUUUCUGAUUGACUCGUUCCAAAUGACCGCAAUGUGGCAAGGAUCAUUCAGAGGAUUGAGAAAGCUUGACCCCGUGGCCUUCGACAUCCUCAUAGGACCAGUGUGCGACAAACAGCACUGGACACUUGUGGUAAUGUAUCCAAAGGAGAAGCGGGUGCUUUACCUUGAUCCUUUAGGUGAAACUCCAGAACACCUAAAUAAAUGCAAGGAUGUGACAAGGCAAGCUAUAAAUCGGAAGUUAAAAUGUCACUUUCUUUGUUACAAAACGAAAAUAUAUAGAUGUUUUUUUGUACUUAACAGAGUUUUCAUGAGACUUCGAAAUGUUCAUAUUUCUCGGUGGACUUGUGAUAAAGUAAGCCAUCCAAAACAACAGGACUCAACAUCCUGUGGGGCACUUGUCUGCAAGUUUGCAGAGCUUAUUCUCAGCGGUGCCUGAUAGAUUUCUCUACAGACGAGGCUUCCAUCACUCUGUUGAGGCGAGAAAUAGCAUGCAGACUGGUCACUGACUCAGAAAACCUGACGGAACUAUGUAGAGCAUGUGGGAAUGCACAGCAAAGUCCAGGGAGAAAUAAAGAUGGGCACGAUGACUGGAUCCAGUGUACAACAUGCGGGCUGUGGUUCCACUGGCUCUGCAUUGGAAAGCCGCCAUUGGAGCAGGACUUCUGCUGUCCUGCAUGUUAUCUGUAAUGGAGGAAGUAUGUGGCUGAAGCUCUCUAACUCUAUGCUAGGUUUGUCUCUGCACUGCUGCUGACUUGUGUAGUGGGGAAAAUAAACUACACCAAUCUAUAUAAAUAGAAGUCUAACAUUGCAUUACAAACAGGAAGAUGAGUCAUAUUGUAAAAUUAAUUUGACAUUAAAAUAAUUUUAAUGCCACUGUCUGCUCGCCACCUAUUGCAUGCCAACCAUCCUACUUCACAAGAGUCUUUGUGCUUUUUCUCUUCACAGGUUCUCGUGGUUCUAUCUGGACCCUGGUCUUGCGUUCUUCGGUGGUU